rnacentral:tRNA from 1 species
AGAAUAGUUUAGUACAAAAUACCA